rnacentral:rRNA from 1 species
UACAGGGGGGUGCAAACGUUUGCUCGGAAUUAUUGGGCGUAAAGCGCGCGUAGGCGGCUACUUAAGUCGGAUGUGAAAGCCCCUGGCUCAACUGGGGGAAGUGCACCCGAAACUGAGUAGCUUGAGUGCAAAAAGAGGGCCGCGGAAUUCCCGGUGUAGAGGUGAAAUUCGUAGAUAUCGGGAGGAACACCGGUGGCGAAGGCGGCGGCCUGGGGUUGACACUGACGCUGAGGCGCGAAAAGCGUGGGGGAGCAAACAGG